GGGGCUGUUAUGGUUUCGACAGGAUUAACAGUGAUAGAAUUGCAAGUAGAUGGCAAUCUUUAAAUGCAUCAGUUAAAUAUAACUGGAAACAAUUAUUCAAUGGCUUACGCUGCUUAAUUAGCAAUAUAGCGUUUGCGCUUCUUUAAAAGUUUUACCUAUGGACUUUUUUAGAGGCUCGAUUUUAAUAGGUUAUAUUACUAUGAUGUCUAUAGUAGUAAUGAAUUUUAUAGACUGGCUAUAUCAACAUUUGUUAACUAAUUUUUGAUAUAGUGAGAUUGUUUAGUUAACUAAACUUGUAGAGAUUCUAUAGGACUUAGUUUUGGACAGGAGUUCGAUUCUCCUCAGCUCCACCA
rnacentral:tmRNA from 1 species